rnacentral:rRNA from 1 species
GAUGAACGCUGGCGGCGUGCCUAAUACAUGCAAGUCGAGCGAACGGACGAGGAGCUUGCUCGUCUGAUGUUAGCGGCGGACGGGUGAGUAACACGUGGAUAACCUACCUAUAAGACUGGGAUAACUUCGGGAAACCGGAGCUAAUACCGGAUAAUAUUUUGAACCGCAUGGUUCAAGAGUGAAAGACGGUCUUGCUGUCACUUAUAGAUGGAUCCGCGUUGCAUUAGUUAGUUGGUAAGGUAACGGCUUACCAAGGCAACGAUGCAUAGCCGACCUGAGAGGGUGAUCGGCCACACUGUAACUGAGACACGGCCCCGACUCCUACGGGAGGAAGCAGUAGGGAAUCUUCCGCAAUGGACGAAAGCGUGAUGUAGCAACGCCGCGUGAGUGAUGAAGGUCUUCGGAUCGUAAAACUCUGUUAUUAGGGAAGAACAAAUGUGUAAGUACCUGUGAACAUCUUGACGGUACCUAAUCAGAAAGCUACGGCUAACUACGUG